UGUACUCUGGCUAUCUGAAAUCAAUUAUCAAACUAUAAAACAUCGAGGCUUACUACUUCCAUCUUAAUUCAACCCAUAAUCCAUUCUAUGAUUAUCAAUUCAACAAUACUUCUCUCAAUCACAAUUCUUCAUAAGCAAAUAAUAAAGAAAGCAAAGAGGUAAUACCAAACUUAUCCCACCUUAUGACUCUCAGUCUGGCUCUUGGCUUAGCUUUCUUCAACCUAUUUAUCCUACCAAAAGAUGAUCCGUUGGCCAGCUGAUUCUAAAGGUUAUGAUCCUUUGAAUUCUUAACCAUUUAUUCUACUAAUAACCUACUCUUAACAACUAAACUGCCUAACCAUCAGUCUAAUUCUCAAGGUUGUCAAUAACCAACCAAUAACUUACCACAAAGUUUAUUUACCUAUUCUAUAUAGCGCCACUAUUAAUUGUGCAGCGUCCUCACAAAUAUUAUUUAGCCUCAACUUAUAAAGACGUAGCAGCAUUGGCUUCUUAAGUCAAUGGCAUUGGCUUACUUCCUUUGUUAAUGUGGCUAGUUCAAUAUGCAACAUCGCAACUUCUACCUACAGUCGUUCUUGUCAUUCCAUCCAAUCGGUCUCCAUCCUUACUUUCUCAGACACCAUGUUCACCAUCUUCUCUGUAACCACAAAAGAAAACAUGAUGCUUGUUAAGAAUCCCCCUCCCACUUCUUACUAUGGUCCAAUCAAUUGGGUCCACUCACCCUUUUGUAACAGAAAACUCGUCCCAAGUUUAUGUAUAGUAAAAUUUAAGCCGAUUGCCAUUGAUCUGUGUUAUAAAUUUAAUAUCCAUAAAAUCUUCCAAUUGUAAUAAAAUAUUUGGAAAUCCAUCAAUAACUCGAUAUGGCCCAUGCCAUCGAACUUAAAAUUUUCUUGGAAAUUUUUUAAAUCGACUAUCAUAAAGAACUACUAAAUCAUUUGGCAUAAAAGCCUUUGAUCUAAGCUUACUAUCAUAAUAAGUCUUCCUUCGUUUUUGUGUCAUUUCCAUGAUCAUUAAUGCAUUGGCUCUAGUUUCAUCUAAUUUUUCUAAUUCUUCUAAACGCUGUCGUUGUUGUAUAACGUGCUAUCUUGCUUGAGAACGUGCCAGGCGUCUGGCUGUAGGAGGUAGUAUGGUGUUUCGCUAGUAUUCAAAUAAUCUAUCGGGUUCUUGACUACCCAAAUAUAAUCUAUAUCGAAUUGCAAUAUAAAAGCUUAAUUCCAAUAUAAAAUGCCUAGAGACCCUAUAUAACUUCAAUCUCUUUUGUUAUUUUUAUUUUAUUUUAUUUAUCAUAUAUUUUUUAUUUUAUCUUUAUCGUUAAUUACCUUAAUCCUAGACCGUUGUCGUAUUACGUGCUUUCCUGCUCGAGAAUGCGCUGGGCGUCUAGCUGUAGAAGGUAGUAUGGAGAUUCAUCGAUAGUCAAGCAGUCUAUCAGUUUUUGACUGCUGGAAUAUAAACGACUGCAAGAAUGUACCGUAAAUCUAUACGGAUGCUCUUUGACUGCUUGUCGAAGUCUUUUUUUUUUUUUUUUUUGCCCCAGCUGAUAGGUCUCUAGAUGUUACAGAGAACCCCGAAUAACCCAAACUGUUAAUCUUCAAUACCCCUUUGUACUUACGAUCUUGUAUCCACUGACUGUCCUGUUAGAUUAAUCCAAUAAAUUUCAUUCACUCCGCAUACUCAAUCCUAUAGACACCCCUUUAAUCCUUCAAUCACAGACAUAACUCGAUUUUACAAAACAGUCAAGAGUAUUCAAACCCACUUCAUUUAAAAAUCCCGAUUCACCAUUACAACACUGACUUCAGCAGCGAUUGCCUCAGUCUUCUCAAAACUCUACGAAGAAGAAAAAUCCAAAUUCUAUGUCUUUCCUUCCCCGACCCGAAGCAUGAAGCUCCUCUCUCUAAUUCCCUUGAUCUUCCAAAAACCUCCAAUGAAAACCGAACUAGUAACCUUGCAAAAGCUUGAAAACUCGCUCCCCCCGAUUCCCCCCGAAAAAAAACCUUCCCCCCUCAAAACUAUAUCCCCCCUAACCUUAUCCUCUGAAUUUCUUCAAUCUUCCGUCUUAGAUCCGGAAUUGGCUCCCACCUCAAGCUUGGAUCCGAAAUUGGCUCUCGCCAUCAAGCUUUCUUCUCCGUUUUUACCUUUAAGAAAUCCAUUUAUCGAAAACAACGUUCCCUGAAACGGCACAGAGAACAGGACAGUCUGAAACAGAAUCAAACCCCGUAAUCGGGACCACAUUGAGUCGCCCAACCAAUUCAGGUCCUAUAUUGGAAAAGAUGCCCGUAGUAACCUGGAUGUUCCCGUAAUUGGGUCAAAUUGGUCCUCGCGUCAGAUUGGCUAAGACCCGUAGUAAGACCUGGAUUUCUCAUAAUUAGACUGCAUUGGGUUGACCGGCCAAUUCAGGUCUCAUAUUGGAUAAGAGGACCCGGAUUGGAUUAUCAAAAUUGGAUCUAAUUGGCUCCUCGAACCCAUCGUGUGAAUUGGUCCUUCUCUUCCUGUUGACUCCCGUUAUUGGAAUCGAAUGGAACAUUUCAGUAUGCCUCGGCUGACUGUAACGGAGUGACUGAACCUGACCACUCAGUAUUUGUACUGGAGUUGGUUGAUGCUCCCAAUAUUCGAGGUAACUGAAUAUUAAUAAAAUUCCCCUUUCUUUUUAUUUUCACUGUAUUCUCAUGUUACAACACGACAUCCACCCCCUCUGAACCUGUGCAUCCUCCGGUAUGCACCAAUUCACCCAAUUGCUGUUUGAUUCAGAAUAUAUCUCCUACGUCUUUGUCUAGUUCGUCUUCGUCACCUUCAUUAUCCAUAUCACUUUCAUCUUCUUGCUGCGGAAUCUCUGUACCUUCAUUAAGGUCUUCCAUAUUCAUCUCUGCGUGUCUUCGUUUAAAUAUUUUUACUCGCUUCCCUGCAAUUGGUAUUUUCAAUUUUAUACCAUCUAACUCCUGUAAUGAGUAAGUCGCAUUAUCAUGAACAGUUGUUAUAACAUAUGGUCCAAACCAACGUUUUGAAAAUUUCCGCAAAGUACUAUGUUGAUUAUCUAGACUAUUGUCAUAAACAAGUACCCAGUCACCUUCCUCGAUUGCUUUUGGUCUCAAUCGAUGUUGCUUAUCGAAUCGCGCCUUGUUUUGUAACCUUGCUCUUUUUAACCUUUCCAAUGCUAUCUAGACAUCUUCCGUUCUUUGCUCCAAUUGUCGAAUCCUAAUAGCCAGAAGUUCUUCUCUUGUCAAUCCAUCUUCCCAUGGUAGCAUACUCCAAGUAAGUACCUUUUCUUCAAUCGGCAUAAUUGGUUUUUGACCUGUCAUAAGUUCUACUGGCAUAUAUCCUGUCACCGAACUAUGUGUUGUUGGAUCAACCCAGGAACAUCAUCCAGAAAAGGCAUAGUCUUUUCCGGAAUAAAAUCUCUCAAUACCUUAUUCAUCCCAUUCAUCAUAUGCGCAACUGAGUUGGUCGCGCCUUGAGGAAGAGUGCACAUUCUAACCAAUCCAAGCGGUGUCCUCAUCGUUGUCAUAUCUCUACUUCCUUCGGCAAGUUGAAAUUGAUUAUAACCUGAAUACAAAUCACCCAUUGAAUAGAUCGUCCUUCCAGCAAACGUCUCAGUAAAUUCAUCGACAAUAGGUCCAAUUCCUGCAUUCCUGACAGUUACAGCAUUCACCGGCUGCAUAUCUUGAAUAAACCGUAGUGAUCCAUUCUUCUUAGGUACCGUUGUCGUGUUCUAACACGAGAAUACAGUGAAAAUAAAAAGAAAAGGGAAUUUUAAUAAUAUUCAGUUACCUCGAAUAUUGGGAGCAUCAACCAACUCCAGUACAAAUAUUGAGUGGUCAGGUUCAGUCACUCCGUUAUAGUCAGCCGAGGCAUACUGAAAUGCUCCAUUCGAUUCCAAUAACGGGAGUCAGCAAGAAGAGAAGGACCAAUUCACACGACGGGUUCGAGGAGCCAAUUGGAUCCAAUUUCGAUAAUCCAAUCCGGGUCUUCUUAUCCAAUAUGAGACCUGAAUUGGCUGGUCAACCCAAUGCAGUCUAAUUACGGGAAAUCCAGGUCUUACUACGGGUCUUAGCCAAUCUGACGCGAGGACCAAUUUGACCUAAUUACGGGAACAUCCAGGUUACUACGGGCAUCUUUUCCAAUAUAGGACCUGAAUUGGUCGGGCGACUCAAUGUGGUCCCGAUUACGGGAUUCGAUUCUGUUUCAGACUGUCCUGUUCUCUGUGCCGUUUCAGGGAACGUUGUUUUCAGUAAAUGGAUUUCUUAAAGGUAAAAACGGAGGAGAAAGCUUGACGGCGAGAGCCAAUUUCGGAUCCAAGCUUGAGGUGGAAGCCAAUUCCGGAUCUAAGACGGAAGAUUGAAGAAAUUCAGAGGAUAAUGUUAGGGGGGAUAUAGUUUUGAGGGGGGGGUUUUUUUUUUCAGGGGAAUCGGGGGGGGAGCGAGUUUUCAAGCUUUUGCAAGGUUACCAGUUCGGUUUUCAUUGGAGGUUUUUGGAAGAUCAAGGGAAUUAGAGAGAGGAGCUUCAUGCUUCGGGUCGGGGAAGGAAAGACAUAGAAUUUGGAUUUUUCUUCUUCGUAGAGUUUUGAGAAGACUGAGGCAAUCGCUGCUGAAGUCAGUGUUGUAAUGGUGAAUCGGGAUUUUUAAAUGAAGUGGGUUUGAAUACUCUUGACUGUUUUGUAAAAUCGAGUUACGUCUGUGAUUGAAGGAUUAAAGGGGUGUCUAUAGGAUUGAGUAUGCGGAGUGAAUGAAAUUUAUUGGGUUAAUCUAACAGGACAGUCAGUGGAUACAAGAUCGUAAGUACAAAGGGGUAUUGAAGAUUAACAGUUUGGGUUAUUCGGGGUUCUCUGUAACGUCUAGAGACCUAUCGGUUGGGGUAAAAAAAAAAAAAAGGACUUCGACAAGCAGUCGAAGAGCAUCCGUAUAGAUUUACGGUACAUUGUUGCAGUCGUUUAUAUUCCAGCAGACAAAAACUGAUAGACUGCUUGACUAUCGGCGAAUCUCCAUACUACCUUCUAUAGCCAGACGCCCGGCGCGUUCUCGAGCAGGAAAGCACGUAAUACGACAUAAGUGGUGAACUCGAUGUAAAAGCUUGAGGUAGAAGGUAUUGGAUUUCGGUUGAUUUUAUCUUUAUUUUUAUAGAAAACGAAAAUAAAAAUUUUGAAGGAUUUUUGGAAGAAGUUUUUGGUGGGGAGUCUUCUAAAGGACAAGGUAUGCACAUGGAUCCGUCUAUUGCUAGUUUGUUUCAAGCCUUCUCAUUGUCAAUGCAGCAACAGCAAAGCAAUGAUCGAAAGGAAGCUUUGGCAACCAAAGCAUUGCAAGGAGUGGUGUCAUGGACAUACAUUAGAAGAUUCUUCGAAUAUUCUUCUAGAAUAUUCUCUAAAGAUUCUCUAAAGAUUCCUUUAGAAGGUUCUAGAAGAUUCUUAGAAUAUUCUCUAAAGAUUCUCUUAGAAGGUUCUAGAAUAUUCUUAGAAGGUUCUAAAAUAUUUUGAUAGAUUCUAGGAAGUUGCUCGAGAAGUUUCCUAAUUAGUAGAAGUUGUUGGAGAAGCGUCCUAGUUAGCAGAAGUAGCUCGAGAAGCUUCCUAUUCAGUAGUAUAUAUAGGAGUCGAGGCUGAAGGGUUCUUCAGUCUCGACAACACAUCUCUUGGAGUUCUAGCUCACCUUUCUGGUGUUGUUCUUGUACUCAUCUGUUUAAUCUAGUUUUGCCACUUCUUCUUGAACUUCUUGUUAGAUUUCAAGUCUGUAUUUUGUGUCUGUGACAGUUUGUCGAGACUGCAUUUUCACUGGUAUCAGAGCUAGUUCCUCCUUGUUAGAGAGUGGAUUACCCCUCUUCUUGAAGGUGCGCUAGUGUUUUAGAGGUUGUGGAUUACCCUCCUCUAAACUGAUAUCUCUUCUUUCUCAAUAUUGGAGCCUUAUUCUUCUUGGAGAGAGUGGAUUACCCCUCAUCUUGGAGUCUUAAGGCGUUUUAGAGGUUGCGGAGUACUCUCCUCUGAACCAAUAUUGUCCUCUUGUCAAAACUCUUUUUUCUUCUUUCUGAAGGUUAGCGGAAGGUUAAGACGUUAAAAUGGCUGAAAGUUUGGAAUCCAAACUAGACGCCAUCAUAAAUACUCUUGCCUCGUUGUCACAUAGGACAACAGAGAUCGAAGGAGUCAUGGUAGGACUCCAUAACAAUGGAGCAUCUGGGAUAGCGCCAUCUAAAGCAUAUCAGCCUCAAACUUCUGUCCCAGAAGAAGCAGUUCUACCUCCAUUUCAACAAGAUCGAGUAGUCCUACAACGAAAGGAGCCUCGAGUUAGUCUUCCGGAUAAGUUUGAUGGAACUCGUUCCAAGUUUCGAGGUUUUGUCAACCAAAUCAGGUUGAUAACAAUUUUACAGCCCGAACGUUAUCCGACGGAGGAAGCGCAUGUUGGGCUUGUUGGAACCUUGCUUACAGCACAAGCUCUAUCUUGGUUUACUUCCUUGUUCGAGAAGCGAUCGCCAAUCCUGAGCAACUUUGAAACGUUCUUCGAGGCGUUUGCAGAAGCAUUUGGCGAGCAUGAUAAAGUUCAAUGUGCUACAACAAAGAUCCGAUCGCUACGACAAGGAAUACGCUCUGCAUCAGUCUAUGCCUCGGAUUUCAGACAAUUGGCAAGUGACAUUAAUUGGGGUGAAGAGGCGUUGGUGAGUCAAUUUUAUUGGGGCUUGAAGGAUGAUGUGAAGGACUUGCUGUUAUCUCUUCCUGAUCCUCAAACGCUCAACGAAGCUAUUAGCCAAGCUGUAAAGUGUGACAACCGCCUAUUCCAGCGUCGCCAAGACCAACGUCCAAGACACCAAAUGCCUCGUUACGACGUGACUAUGUCUGCAAAUAGCUUAAACUCACAUUCGGAGGCAACAGACAUGCAAAUCGACAUGGCGCGUGUCCAAUCUCUUACUCCAACAGAAAAGAAACGACGUAUGGAGGAAGGGUUAUGUUUGUACUGUGGAGAAGAAGGUCAUAAGGUUGGAAAUUGCCCAAAGAAGCAAAAUUGGCACCCUGUCAAGACUAGAAGUGCGAUGAUUCCGGAAAACGACGAUGCCCAGCCACAGUAGGAACCGUACAACUGGACAAUCUAAUAUCACGACAACAAUCAGGUUCCUCCUUCUCUGUCCAACCUGCCCGUUGUUUCACAAUUCCUUUGUUUUUAGGCCCUCAAAAACAAAAAACUUUAGCUUUAUUGGAUUCGGGGGCAUCUACUUGUUUUUUAGAUGAAGAGUUUGCUAAACGCCACAAGAUCCGUUUAGUACAUAAGUUCAAACCUGUUCACGUAGAGGUGAUAGAUGGACGACCCUUAUUGUCAGGCAACGUUACCCACGAAUCAAAACCUAUAGAAGUGGUGUUUAAGAACCAUAGUAGUCACGUUAUUUUUAAUAUUAUUAGAACCCCAUCAAGCCCUGUUAUCUUUGGUCUUUCUUGGUUAGAAGAUCAUAAUCCGUCCAUUGAUUGGAGGCUACGAAAGAUAACAUUUCCUGAAAAAAAUAAUAAUAAACCUGUUGGUAGAACCUACAUGAAGAAAUCCAUGUUUAUUGGAGCGAGAGCGUUCCUAAGAUCGUCCAAGGAAGGCGCACCAUUUGUCAUUUAUGCAGCUCCAACUAGCGGCGAGAAUAUCUCAACAUCGAAUAUACUAGAGCAAUAUAGGGAUUUUGAAGACGUGUUUCAGAAGAAGAACGCCGAUAUACUGCCGGAACAUUGACCAUAUGAUUGCGCCAUAGACUUAGAGGAAGGAGCGCAACCACCUUUUGGUCCAAUAUACAACCUAUCGCAGACGGAGUUGGCAGAAUUGCGGAAGUACAUCGAUGAGAAUCUAGCCAAGAAUUUUAUUCGACAUUCAAAGUCGCCAGCUAGAGCACCAAUCCUAUUCGUGAAGAAAAAGGAUGGCUCACUGCGGAUGUGCGUGGACUACCGAGGACUCAACAAGGUGACCAAGAAAAAUCGCUAUCCCUUACCUUUGAUCUGCGGCCUCUUAGAUCAACUUGGACGUGCAAGGAUUUUUACAAAGAUUGAUUUAAGAGGAGCCUACAACCUUGUGCGAAUCAAAGAAGGAGAUGAAUGGAAGACAGCCUUACGUACAAGGUAUGGCCAUUUUGAGUACAAUGUCAUGCCUUUUGGUCUUACCAAUGCUCCAGCGGACUUUCAGCAUAUGUUGAACGACAUCUUUCGGGAGUACCUCGAUGACUUUGUUGUCAUCUAUCUGGAUGAUAUUUUGAUAUUUUCCAAGAAUGAAGAAGAACAUGAGAAGCACGUUUGUUUGGUUCUUGAAAAACUACGCGAUCGAGGACUCUACGCCAAGUUGGAAAAGUGUCAAUUUCACCAGAAUGAGAUGGAAUUUUUGGGCUUCAUUGCGACUACAGAGGGCUUGAAGAUGGAUCCAAAAAAGGUAGAAGCAAUUAUAACUUGGGAAGUUCCGAAGACGAUUAGAGAUGUUCAGUGUUUUCUUGGAUUUGCUAACUUCUAUCGGAUCUUCAUCAAGAAUUAUUCUCAAGUUGCUGCACCACUCACGCGUCUAACAAGCAAAGACAAGCUCGAAUGGGGAUCACAAGCAGCAAAAGCAUUUCAAGAUCUCAAGACGGCAUUCACUACGGCUCCAAUCUUGGUACACCCUGACUUUGCAAAGGCUUUCUAUUUAGAGACCGAUGCUUCAGAUUUUGCUUUGGGAGCUGUGCUUUCACAGAUGGGCAUAGACAAGAAGCUUCACCCAGUUGCGUUCUAUUCACGAAAGUUCUCUGCUGCUGAGAUCAACUACGAGAUCCACGACAAAGAGCUGCUUGCUAUAGUGGAUGCCUUCCAAGAGUGGCGUCACUUCCUCGAAGGAGCUGCACAUCCAGUGACUGUUUAUACGGACCACAAGAAUUUGGAGUACUUCAUGACAGCUCGAAUUUUGAAUCGUCGUCAAGCUCGAUGGAAUAUGUCUCUAUCACGAUUUGACUUUAUUAUCACCUACCGCCCUGGAAAACAGCAAGGAUUAUCUGACGCAUUAUCGAGGAGAUCGUAUCUUGCGCCAAAGGUUGGAGAAGCAGCGUUUGAUCAACAAUGUACAACAUUGUUGAAACCAGAAAAAUUCAGGAUUUUUGCUACUGUUGCAACUAUCGAUGACGGCUUCCUCAGCGAGGUACGUACUGCGACCAUUGAGGAUUCUACAGCUCUUGACAUCAAACAACGUGUCGAUAAUGACAAGUUUAAGGUGGAGGGAGAUCUUCUGUAUUUUGAGGAGCGGUUGUAUAUCCCGAAAGGACCAACUCGACUCCGAGUACUUCAAUCUCGCCACGACUUUCCAACUGCGGGACAUUUUGGAUUCAACAAGACUUUGGAGCUCAUUUCACGAGAUUUUUGGUGGCCCCAAAUGUGGAAGGAUGUGAAGGAAUUUGUCCUUUCUUGUGAUGUUUGUUCAAGAUCCAAGAUCCCUCGACAUCGUCCGUAUGGACUUCUCCAGCCAUUGCCUAUUCCGCACCGACCAUGGUCUUCAGUUUCUAUGGACUUCAUUACGGACCUACCGCCAUCGAAUUCAUUUGACAGCAUCUUUGUUGUGGUGGAUCGAUUUACAAAGAUGGCGCAUUUUGUGCCUUGCAAGAAAACAUCGUCAAGUGAAGACACCGCAAGACUCUUUCUUGAUAACAUAUAUCGUUAUCAUGGCCUACCAGAUGAUAUCGUGUCGGAUCGAGGUACUCAGUUUGUAUCCAAGUUUUGGAGGUCCCUCUUUGAGAUAUUGAAGGUGGAUAUUAAGCUCUCUUCGGCUUUUCAUCCUCAAACUGACGGUCAAACGGAGCGGGUGAAUCAAGUUUUGGAGCAAUAUUUACGAUGCAGCAUCAACUAUCAACAAGAUGAUUGGACUGCAUAUCUACCGCUUGCUGAAUUCGCAUACAACAACACUCUUCAUGCGUCAACUCAACAAACACCAUUCUUCUCCAACUACGGAUACCACCCCAAGCUCGAUUUAUUGAGUUCUUCAGCAAAUAAUAACCCAUCAGCUGAAGGAUUUGUGAAGCAACUAUCGGAGCUUCAAGCGACGUUGAAGCUUCAAUUGCAAUCUGCCCAAGAGAGUUACAAGGCAUCUGCAGAUAAAUAUCGAAAUGAGGCGCCUACUUUUAAAGUUGGAAGUAAAGUAUGGCUUCUUCGAUGGAAUAUCAAGACCAAGCGGCCAUGUGACAAAUUGGACUAUCGGAGAUUAGGGCCAUUUGUUAUCGGGAAGCAGAUCAAUCCGGUGGCAUAUCGUCUGGAGUUACUAGCUACUAUGAAGGUACAUCCAGUCUUUCAUGUGUCUUUGUUGGAACCUUAUCGAGAGUCAGCUUUUCCCCAAAGAGUACAAAGUCCGCCACCAAGUAUCGAAAUUGAAAACCAUGAGGAAUACGAGGUGGAAAAGGUACUAGAUUCACGGCGUAAUAGGAGAAAAUUGGAGUAUUUAGUGCAUUGGAGUGAAUACGACAUCAAUGAACGAACGUGGGAGCGUGCCGAAAAUCUUGCCAAUGCACCAAAAAAGAUACAAGAAUUUCAUCAACGAUAUCCUCAUAAACCUAAGCCGAUUCAACGAUAGCUUCUUGCUGAAGCUUGCUCAUCAAGUAGCAUAAAAAGGGGGGAGGGCACCUCCAAAACCCAUAGUUCGAUAGUGUAGAACUUUGUUAGCAACUAUAGUUUGCUCUCAUCAUUUUAGCCUUUGGACAUGGAUAGUCAAGAUACUACACUUGUUAUGUCAUCUCAAGCGACUAGCUCACAAAGACGACCGCGAGAUGAAGAACCGCCUGCACCACGAUGACGUCGGAGGAUACCGAGCAACAGAUCGCUAGUAAUUGUAUUUGAGGUCGAGCCUGCCUACGACGGUCAGCCAGAAGGUGUGUUUGGAGGACAGUUUCACAAUGAAGACACAGAAGUCCACGCUUGGUCAGAGGUUGAAGGUGUUGGUCACUACCGUUGGCUCCAAGGGCCGAUGAAUCAUUUGCCUCGCGAACAACAAUUGGAAUUCAUAGCGGAUGUGAUGCGACAGAUUUACAUUUUCUUGCGUUGGUAUUGACUGAUAACAACAUUGCUUCUCGGAGACCUCGAAGUUAGAAGAGGAGGUGAUGUCAUGGACAUACAUUAGAAGAUUCUUCGAAUAUUCUUCUAGAAUAUUCUCUAAAGAUUCUCUAAAGAUUCUCUAAAGAUUCUUUUAGAAGGUUCUAGAAGAUUCUUAGAAUAUUCCCUAAAGAUUCUCUUAGAAGGUUCUAGAAUAUUCUUAGAAGGUUCUAAAAUAUUCUGAUAGAUUCUAGGAAGUUGCUCGAGAAGUUUCCUAAUUAGUAGAAGUUGUUGGAGAAGCGUCCUAGUUAGCAGAAGUAGCUCGAGAAGCUUCCUAUUCAGUAGUAUAUAUAAGAGUCGAGGCUGAAGGGUUCUUCAGUCUCGACAACACAUCUCUUGGAGUUCUAGCUCACCUUUCUGGUGUUGUUCUUGUACUCAUCUGUUUAAUCUAAUUUUGCCACUUCUUCUUGAACUUCUUGUUAGAUUUCAAGUCUGUAUUUUGUGUCCGUGACAAGUGGUCAAUAAAAUUGAUCAAUUUGAUGGGAGGAAUAUUUCAAGGUAUUUGAGAUGUUAUGUUCGUGAAAUGGAAUUAAAUCGGGUUUCUGAGAAGAAAAUGGUUGCACUAUUUGGACUUGCCACGAUACCGGAGAUAAGGGACCACAUUACAUCGAUUACGGAUCGUUGUGGGAAUUCAUGGGAGGAUUUUUCACAUGCAUUGAAAGACGAAUAUUUCCGGGAAGAUGCUGAUCGCGUUACUAAGAAGCUGUUUCUGGGAUGGAUUGAACGGCCCAAUAAGAAUUUGCAAGCAACAGAGCUACUAAGGGAAUUUGAGAGGCAGUACUCUCAAUUAUCGAAGGUAGAAAAUUGACAUUGGAGUCGAACAAAGUUGAUCUAUUUCUUCAAGCUGCUGAUGGAGAAUUGCAAGAGAAAUUAGAACCUCUUCUUGAAGACAAAGAAGAAGAUGAAAGAUUGACAACGAAGUGGAAGAACGUUGAAGAUGCGGUGGGGUUGCUUACAAAAAAAGAAAGGAGGAAGGAUAGGAGCAAUAUUUCAAAACCAGUACAAGCACCCAAAGCUCCAAUACGUACAACACCACCGACAAUGCCUGCAGUUCAACCUUCGACAUCCUUGUCAAAGAAAGCAGAUAUGGGUAUGGAAGAAAUUAUAUGAGGAAUGCGAGAUCUUCAAAUCAAAUUGGCAAGACUUGAAGAGAAUACUUCUAUAAAUAAUUCAAAGAAUGUUUCAAAACAAGGAUAUGUACAAAGAUGCAUUUGGUGUGAUGAUGCUUCACACACUAGAAAAGAUUGCAAUGAAUUUAAUAAUAUGAUACGGAAGGGAAUUAUUUGCUGGAAAGAUGGGAAGAUAGCAUUGAAAGAUAGGGAGGAUCUUCUUCAAACCAAUUUUGGCAAACGAGGAAUGAGAGCAUUGGUUCAAGAUUACUUAAAAGAGCAUGAAACAGUAGUACGAGAAAGUGCAAGUUAUGGUGCUAGAAUAGAUGAUGAAAUUGGUGGAAGUACGAAAACUAGUGAGUUUUGGGCUUCUACCGUUUCUACAAUGUAAGAAGGGAAAUUACCUCGAGAAGCGUUAUUGAGAACUGCAGCUACAAUACGAGGAAGAACAGGUUGUUGAGUCUCUUUCAGUUCAUGCAUAUAUUGCUAAGAGCCAACAUGAAGCUUUGAUGGAAGAAAAAAGACGAGGAAAUUUUGAUGAUACUAGAGAAGGAAAUUCUUUUAAGAGGCAAACUCGAGGAGACAAGGCUCAGGAGGCAGCUUCACAAGAAUUGCCUAUAAAGGAUACCUCAGCAUCAUUGGGAGAAAAAACAACGGAGACAAAAGAUAAGGGCAAAUCAAUUGCUUAUAAGCUACUUUCUGAUAUUGAAGUGGCAACAAAUUUGAAAGGGGUGUUGGAAGAACGUAUAUUAAACGUUAAGGUGGAAUUCACAUUGAAAGAAGUCUUGGGAAUUGCAAAGAAGGACUUUCAUGAUGUUAUCAUUGACAGCAUUAAGCAAAAGAGGCAAUUAAUGAGCGAAACUGGAAUGAGUCAUGCUAUUGAUGCAAGAAUAUGUAGAGAUGAAGAAGAGGUUGAUAUUGGUUAUAAGCAACCAACAAAUGAAAAGAAUGGGUAUAAUCAGCGAGUACGUUUCGAAGAUUCUAGUGACAAGGAAAUAGAAACUUUGAGCCAUUAUACUCGAAAGCAUUGGGCAAGGGCAACUACUGAGGUAUUGGUGAAGGUAGGAGAUAUAGAAGAACCAAUAGUUGCCUUGGUGGACCAUGGUUCUGAAAUAAAUCUCAUGUCUAAAGAUCUUUAUAAGAAGCAAAAAUGGCCAAUUGAUAUGGAACAUGGAUGGGCAAUACGAGUAGCUAAUAACACACGGGGCGAAUUAUAUAGAGCUUGUACAGAUGUCAAAAUUCGGAUUGGGGAUGUUGCGACGGAGCAACAUUUCUUCGUUCAAGAUACAACGUCUUAUCCGUUGAUUUUAGGACGACCUUAUAUCACGGCAACACGGAUAGAAACAAAGGUACUUGAUGAUGGUUCUGCUUAUGCAAGGGUACGGAGCAAAGAUGGGAGGAAAGCUGUACAAUUUCUAACAGUACCUCCUAACCAUGAACGGAAUCGAGAUAGGUUGAGGGAGAAACCAUUGCCAAAGAUUGUUGAAGGAUUUAAGGAUUUUGGGGAAGUACCACUGUAAAGCGAGAUUAUGGAGGUACAAAAGAGGAAGUACUCUCGCGAGAUGAAGGUACCUUUGAUGCGAGUUUUAUUGGUAUAUUGGAGAAUGGAAACAUUAUGUAUAAGAAAGUUGAUGAUUUUAAAAGAAAAGAAAGAAAAAGAUUAUACGAUAUUGAAAGACAAUUACGCAAGAUAGGUACAUUGCAAGAUGAUGAGAGGAUUUUGGGUGUUUAUGAAGAAAAUGGACUGGAAGAUUCAUUGGAAUUGAUUACAUCUAUUGGGUUAGGGGAUAAUGAUAAGAUUGUUGAGAUUCAUUCGAGAGAGGUUUAUACCAUGCUUGAAUCUUUUCAAGCACCAGAAGUCACAGUAGAGACGAGAUAUAAAACGGCAGAUAAGAAGGUAAAGCCUGUUGCUGGACCAUUACCAGAGGAUUCUAAAGAACAAAUGGGAGAAGCAUCAAAGGAAGCAAGUUUAAGAGAUCCAAUGAGUAUUGGACAUCAGUUUACUGAAGAGACUUUUGAAGAAUUGAAGAUUGGUUCUGAUGGUUCUUUAUUGUCGGAGGAAAUUACUUGCUUCAAAAAGAUGUUGGCUAAACAAGGUAGAUCGUUUGCCUUCGAAUCUCAUGAAAUUGGGUGUGUGGAUCCAAAUAUUAUAACACCUAUGGUUAUCUUCACUGUACCGCAUGUACCUUGGAAUCUAAGACCGAUUCCAGUACCGAGGGUACAUUUACCUAAAUUGGUGGAACUAUUGAAAGAAAAGAUAAAGAUGAAAAUAUUAGAACCUUCAUUUGCGCCGUAUUCUAGUCGAUGGUUUACGGUACCUAAGAAGAAUGGGUCACUACGGUUUAUUCAAGAUAUGCAGCCGGUGAAUGCUGUAAUUGUCAGGAAUGCAGGAAUUGGACCUAUUGUGGAUGAAUUUGCUGAGACGUUUGCUGGAAGGGCGAUCUAUUCAAUGGGUGAUUUGUAUUCAGGUUAUAAUCAAUUUCAACUUGCCGAAGGAAGUAGAGAUAUGACAGCGAUGAGGACACCGCUUGGAUUGGUUAGAAUGUGCACUCUUCCUCAAGGCGCGACCAACUCAGUUGCGCAUAUGAUGAAUGGGAUGAAUAAGGCAUUGAGAGAUUUUAUUCCGGAAAAGACUAUGCCUUUUUUGGAUGAUGUUACUAUAAAAGGGUGCAGAGAAGGAGACAAGGAUGAAACUUUAGAUACGAGGGGGUGUCGCAGAUAUGUUGUUGAUCAUAUACAAGAUUGUGAAAAGAUUUUAACUCGGCUUGGAGAAGUUCAUUUUACAUUAUCGGGUAUGAAGUCCGUAUUUGGAGUGCGAGAGGUUGUAAUUGUUGGACAUUUAUGCGGAUCUUACGGAAGAAAACCAGAUCCGACUAAAGUUGAUGCAAUUGGAAGGAUGAAAGAGGAUUGUGGUUCUUUAACAGAGGUUCGUAGGUUUUUGGGUGCAUGUGUAUUUUAUCGAAUCUGGAUCCCUCAUUUUGCUCACAUAGCGGAUCCAUUAUAUGAACUGUUACGCAAGGGUUACCGAUUUGAAUGGAAAGAAAGGCAUAUUCAGGCAAUGCAAAGAUUGAAGAAAUUAUUGAUGUCACCUCCAAUAUUGAGGAAGGUUGAUUAUAAGUACAAUAGACCAGUGAUUCUUACUGUAGACGCUAGUCCAAUUGCCGUUAGAUGGGCUAUGGGUCAAGAUGAUUCGAAUGGGAGUAGAUUUGCAGUUCGAUUUGGGGCUAAAGUUUUAAGUAUUCGUCAGCAUGCAUAUUUGCAAGUCAAAAGAGAACUUUGGGAAGUCGUUUCGGCUAUGAAAGCUGAAAAGGACUAUUUGAUUGGGGCAGUAGUAGUAAUUGAAACAGAUUGCUUGCCAUUGCUUGGAAUGAUUAUUAACUGUUCAACGCCAGAUAUUGCAAUGUUGAGAUGGAUUGCUUAUAUUAAGUCACUAAAUCCAGAAUUGAAGCAUAUCAUUGGAAAGGACAAUUUAGUAGCAGACAUGCUAUCUCGAGUAAGAUACGAGAGGGAGGACGAAAUGGUGGAAGACAUUGAUGAUGUCGGAUUGAAAUUCUAUUCAAUAUCAAAUCUCAAUAGAGAAGACAAGCUAUUUCUUGAAGAAUCUUAUGAAGGAAAAUUAUUGGAUAUUGGUCAUUAUUUGAAUACCUUGUCUAAGCAGGGGAAUUGGUCUACAGAAAAAUUCAAACAAAUAAGAAAAAAAGCAUAUGGAUUUUUACUUCGAGAUGGAUUCUUAUGGAAGAGACCGAAGAAAGGAAUUGGGAUGCCACAACGAGUAAUAGGCAAAAGGGAAGAAAAACUAAAAUUAUUAAAGGAGUUUCAUGAUAGUUUAUGGGCAGGGCAUAGAGGAAUCUGGGCUACUUUUGCUAAACUCAAGGAACGAUAUUGGUGGAAAAAUAUGUAUCGAGAUGUGCUCUCAUUUCUAGAGUCAUGUGAAAUCUGUCAAUCGUAUUCUAAUAUCCGACAUCGAGAUGGUCUUCAUCCUACGUAUCCUCUGGCUAUUCAUUUUAAAUGGGUUGUUGAUUUGGUUAUUAUGCCGGUUGGGUUAUGGCAGAUGAGAUAUUUGGUUUUAGCUCGUGAAGAUUUAUCAAAUCUAGUAGAAGGAAGAGCAUUGAGGACAAAAUCUACAGAGGGGAUUUGUAGGUUUUUGCUUGAAGAUGUCAUUUGCCAUUAUGGGUGCGUAGGAAAAAUCACUGCAGAUCGUGGAGAAUUAAAUGCACAAGAAGCUCGUAAGUUCUUUGAAAAAUGUGGAGUUAAACUAUCACUGACUACUGCUUAUAAUCUGGAAGGGAAUGCAAAAAGUGAACGUGGUCACCCGCCGAUUGUGAAAGCAUUGAUUAAAGCUUGUAAUGGGAAGGUUAAAGAGUGGCCACGGCUUUUGUCAUUUGCAUUAUGGGUUGAUCCAACAACACAUAGUUCGGUGACAGGAUAUAUGCCAGUAGAACUUAUGACAGGUCAAAAACCAAUUAUGCCGAUUGAAGAAAAGGUACUUACUUGGAGUAUGCUACCAUGGGAAGAUGGAUUGACAAGAGAAGAACUUCUGGCUAUUAGGAUUCGACAAUUGGAGCAAAGAACGGAAGAUGUCCAGAUAGCAUUGGAAAGGUUAAAAAGAGCAAGGUUACAAAACAAGGCGCGAUUCGAUAAGCAACAUCGAUUGAGACCAAAAGCAAUCGAGGAAGGUGACUGGGUACUUGUUUAUGACAAUAGUCUAGAUAAUCAACAUAGUACUUUGCGGAAAUUUUCAAAACGUUGGUUUGGACCAUAUGUUAUAACAACUGUUCAUGAUAAUGCGACUUACUCAUUACAGGAGUUAGAUGGUAUAAAAUUGAAAAUACCAAUUGCAGGGAAGCGAGUAAAAAUAUUUAAACGAAGACACGCAGAGAUGAAUAUGGAAGACCUUAAUGAAGGUACAGAGAUUCCGCAGCAAGAAGAUGAAAGUGAUAUGGAUAAUGAAGGUGACAAAGACGAACUAGACAAAGACGUAGGGGAUAUAUUCUGAAUCAAACAGCAAUUGGGUGAAUUGGUGCAUACCGGAGGAUGCACAGGUUCAAAGGGGGUGGAUGUCGUGUUGUAACAUGAGAAUACAGUGAAAAUAAAAAGAAAGGGGAAUUUUAUUAAUAUUCAGUUACCUCGAAUAUUGGGAGCAUCAACCAACUCCAGUACAAAUACUGAGUGGUCAGGUUCAGUCACUCCGUUACAGUCAGCCGAGGCAUACUGAAAUGCUCCGUUCGAUUCCAAUAACGGGAGUCAACAGGAAGAGAAGGACCAAUUCACACGAUGGGUUCGAGGAGCCAAUUGGAUCCAAUUUUGAUAAUCCAAUCCGGGUCCUCUUAUCCAAUAUGAGACCUGAAUUGGCCGGUCAACCCAAUGCAGUCUAAUUACGGGAAAUCCAGGUCUUACUACGGAUCUUAGCCAAUCUCACGUGAGGACCAAUUUGACCCAAUUACGGGAAUAUCCAGGUUACUACGGGCAUCUUUUCCAAUAUAGGACCUGAAUUGGUUGGGCGACUCAAUGUGGUCCCGAUUACGGGGUUUGAUUCUGUUUCAGACUGUCCUGUUCUCUGUGCCGUUUCAGGGAACGUUGUUUUCGGUAAAUGGAUUUCUUAAAUGUAAAAACGGAGGAGAAAGCUUGAUGGCGAGAGCCAAUUUCGGAUCCAAGCUUGAGGUGGGAGCCAAUUCCGGAUCUAAGACGGAAGAUUGAAGAAAUUCAGAGGAUAAGGUUAGGGGGGAUAUAGUUUUGAGGAGGGAGGUUUCUUUUUUUCGAGGAAUCGGGGGGGGGGGGGAGCUAGUUUUCAAGCUUUGCAAGGUUACCAGUUCGGUUUUCAUUGGAGGUUUUUGAAGAUCAAGGGUUUAGAGAGAAGAGCUUCAUGCUUCGGGUCGGGGAAGGAAAGACAUAGAAUUUGGAUUUUUCUUCUUCGUAGAGUUUUGAGAAGACUGAGGCAAUCGCUGCUGAAGUCAGUGUUGUAAUGGUGAAUCGGGAUUUUUAAAUGAAGUGGGUUUGAAUACUCUUGACUGUUUUGUAAAAUCGAGUUACGUCUGUGAUUGAAGGAUUAAAGGGGUGUCUAUAGGAUUGAGUAUGCGGAGUGAAUGAAAUUUAUUGGGUUAAUCUAACAGGACAGUCAGUGGAUACAAGAUCGUAAGUACAAAGGGGUAUUGAAGAUUAACAGUUUGGGUUGUUCGGGGUCUCUGUAAUGUCUAGAGACCUAUCGGCUGGGGCAAAAAAAAAAAAAAUGACCUCGACAAGCAGUCGAAGAGCAUCCGUAUAGAUUUACGGUACAUUGUUGGAGUCGUUUAUAUUCCAGCUGUAAAAACUGAUAGACUGCUUGACUAUCGGUGGAUCUCCAUACUAUCUUCUACAGCCAGACGCCCGACGCGUUCUCGAGCAGGAAAGCACGUUAUACGACACCGUAAACCAUCGACUAGAAUACGGCACAAAUGAAGGUUCUAAUAUUUUCAUCUUUAUCUUUUCUUUCAAUAGUUCCACCAAUUUAGGUAAAUGUGCCCUCGGUACUGGAAUCGGUCUUAGAUUCCAAGGUACAUGCGGUACAGUGAAGAUAACCAUAGGUGUUAUAAUAUUUGGAUCCACACACCCAAUUUCAUGAGAUUCGAAGGCAAACAAUCUACCUUGUUUAGCUAACAUCUUUUUGAAGCAAGUAAUUUCCUCCGACAAUAAAGAACCAUCAGAAUCAAUCUUCAAUUCUUCAAAAGUUUCUUCAGUAAACUGAUGUCCAAUACUCAUUGGAUCUUUUAAACUUGCUUCCUUUGAUGCUUCUCCCAUUUGUUCUUUAGAAUCCUCUGGUAAUGGUCCGGCAACAGGCUUUUACCUUCUUAUCUGUCGUUUUAUAUCUCGUCUCUACUGUGACUUCUGGUGCUUGAAAAGAUUCAAGCAUGGUAUAAACCUCUCUCAAAUGAAUCUCAACAAUCUUAUCAUUAUCCCCUAACCCCAUAGAUGUAAUCAAUUCCAAUGAAUCUUCCCGUCCAUUUUUCUUCUAAACACCCAAAAUCCUCUCAUCAUCNNNNNNNNNNNNNNNNNNNNNNNNNNNNNNNNNNNNNNNNNNNNNNNNNNNNNNNNNNNNNNNNNNNNNNNNNNNNNNNNNNNNNNNNNNNNNNNNNNNNAUGUACCUAUCUUGCGUAACUGUCCUUCAAUAUCAUAUAAUCUUUUUCUUUCUUUUCUUUUAAAAUUAUCAACUUUCUUAUACAUAAUAUUUCCAUUCUCCAAUAUACCAAUAAAACUCGCAUCAAAGACACCUUCAUCUCGCGAGAGGAGCUCCUCUUUUGUACCUCCAUAAUCUCGUUUUACAGUGGUAUCUUACCAAAAUUCUUAAAUCCUUCAACAAUCUUUGGCAAUGGUUUCUCCCUCAACCUAUCUCGAUUCCGUUCAUGGUUAGGAGGUACUGUUAGAAAUUGUACAGCUUUCCUCCCAUCUUCCCUCCGUACCCUUGCAUAAGCAAAACCAUCGUCAAGUACCUUUGUUUCCAUCCGUGUUGCCGUGAUAUAAGGUUGUCCUAAAAUCAACGGAUAAGACGUUGUAUCUUGAACGAAGAAAUGUUGCUCCGUCGUAACAUCCCCAAUCCGAAUUUUGACAUCUGGACAAGCUCCAUAUAAUUCGCCUCGUGUGUUAUUAGCUGCUCGUAUUGCCCAUCCAUGUUCCAUAUCAAUUGGCCAUUUUUGCUUCUUAUAAAGAUCUUUAGACAUGAGAUUUAUUUCAGAACCAUGGUCCACCAAGGCAACUAUUGGUUCUUCUAUAUCUCCUACCUUCACCAAUACCUCAGUAGUUGUCCUUGUCCAAUGCUUUCGAGUAUAAUGGCUCAAAGUUUCUAUUUCCUUGUCACUAGAAUCUUCGAAACGUACUCGCUGAUUAUACCCAUUCUUUUCAUUUGUUGGUUGCUUAUAACCAAUAUCAACCUCUUCUUCAUCUCUACAUAUUCUUGCAUCAAUAGCAUGACUCAUUCCAGUUUCGCUCAUUAAUUGCCUCUUUUGCUUAAUGCUGUCAAUGAUAACAUCAUGAAAGUCCUUCUUUGCAAUUCCCAAGACUUCUUUCAAUGUGAAUUCCACCUUAACGUUUAAUAUACGUUCUUCCAACACCCCUUUCAAAUUUGUUGCCACUUCAAUAUCAGAAAGUAGCUUAUAAGCAAUUGAUUUGUCCUUAUCUUUUGUCUCCGUUGUUUUUUCUCCCAAUGAUGCUGAGGUAUCCUUUACAGGCAAUUCUUGUGAAGCUGCCUCCCGAGCCUUGUCUCCUCGAGUUUGCCUCUUAAAAGAAUUUCCUUCUCUAGUAUCAUCAAAAUUUCCUCGUCUUUUUUCUUCCAUCAAAGCUUCAUGUUGGCUCUUAGCAAUAUAUGCAUGAAUUGAAAGAGACUCAACAACCUGUUCUUCCUCGUAUUGUAGCUGCAGUUCUCAAUAACGCUUCUCGAGGUAAUUUCCCUUCUUACAUUGUAGAAACGGUAGAAGCCCAAAACUCACUAGUUUUCGUACUUCCACCAAUUUCAUCAUCUAUUCUAGCACCAUAACUUGCACUUUCUCGUACUACUGUUUCAUGCUCUUUUAAGUAAUCUUGAACCAAUGCUCUCAUUCCUCGUUUGCCAAAAUUGGUUUGAAGAAGAUCCUCCCUAUCUUUCAAUGCUAUCUUCCCAUCUUUCCAGCAAAUAAUUCCCUUCCGUAUCAUAUUAUUAAAUUCAUUGCAAUCUUUUCUAGUGUGUGAAGCAUCAUCACACCAAAUGCAUCUUUGUACAUAUCCUUGUUUUGAAACAUUCUUUGAAUUAUUUAUAGAAGUAUUCUCUUCAAGUCUUGCCAAUUUGAUUUGAAGAUCUCGCAUUCUUCAUAUAAUUUCUUCCAUACUCAUAUCUGCUUUCUUUGACAAGGAUGUCGAAGGUUGAAUUGCAGGCAUUGUCGGUGGUGUUGUAUGUAUUGGAGCUUUGGGUGCUUGUACUGGUUUUGAAAUAUUGCUCCUAUCCUUCCUCCUUUCUUUUUUUGUAAGCAACCCCACCGCAUCUUCAAUGUUCUUCCACUUCGUUGUCAAUCCUUCAUCUUCUUCUUUGUCUUCAAGAAGAGGUUCUAAUUUCUCUUGCAAUUCUCCAUCAGCAGCUUGAAGAAAUAGAUCAACUUAAUUCGGCUCCAAUGUCAAUUUUCUACCUUCGAUAAUUGAGAGUACUGCCUCUCAAAUUCCCUUAGUAGCUCUGUUGCUUGCAAAUUCUUAUUGGGCCGUUCAAUCCAUUCCAGAAACACCUUCUUAGUAACGCGAUCAGCAUCUUUCAAGAAAUAUUCGUCUUUCAAUGCAUGUGAAAAAUCCUCCCAUGAAUUCCCACAACGAUCCGUAAUCGAUGUAAUGUGGUCCCUUAUCUCCGGUAUCGUGGCAAGUCCAAAUAGUGCAACCAUUUUCUUCUCAGAAAUCCGAUUUAAUUCCAUUUCACGAACAUAACAUCUCAAAUACCUUGAAAUAUUCCUCCCAUCAAAUUGAUCAAUUUUAUUGACCACUGCUUGCAAUGCUUUGGUUGCCAAAGCUUCCUUUCGAUCAUUGCUUUGCUGUUGCUGCAUUGACAAUGAGAAGGCUUGAAACAAACUAGCAAUAGACGGAUCCAUGUGCAUACCUUGUCCUUUAGAAGACUCCCCACCAGAAACUUCUCUCAAAAAUCCUUCAAAAUUUUUAUUUUCGAUUUCCAUAAAAAUAAAGAUAAAAUCAAUCGAAAUCUAAUACCUUCUACCUCAAGCUUUCACGUCGGGUUCACCACUUAUGUCGUAUUACGUGCUUUCCUGCUUGAGAACGCGUCGGGCGUCUCGCUGUAGAAGGUAGUAUAGAGAUUCGCCGAUAGUCAAGCAGUCUAUCAGUUUUUGACUGCUGGAAUAUAAACGACUGCAACAAUGUACCGUAAAUCUAUACGGAUGCUCUUUGACUGCUUGUCGAGGUCCUUUUUUUUUUUUUUGCCCCAGCCGAUAGGUCUCUAGACGUUACAGAGAACCCCGAACAACCCAAACUGUUAAUCUUCAAUACCCCUUUGUACUUACGAUCUUGUAUCCACUGACUGUCCUGUUAGAUUAACCCAAUAAAUUUCAUUCACUCCGCAUACUCAAUCCUAUAGACACCCCUUUAAUCCUUCAAUCACAGACGUAACUCGAUUUUACAAAACAGUCAAGAGUAUUCAAACCCACUUCAUUUAAAAAUCCCGAUUCACCAUUACAACACUGACUUCAGCAGCGAUUGCCUCAGUCUUCCCAAAACUCUACGAAGAAGAAAACUCCAAAUUCUAUGUCUUUCCUUCCCCGACCCGAAGCAUGAAGCUCCUCUCUCUAAUUCCCUUGAUCUUCAAAAACCUCCAAUGAAAACCGAACUGGUAACCUUGCAAAGCUUGAAAACUAGCUCCCCCCCCCCCGAUUCCUCGAAAAAAAAAAACCUCCCUCCUCAAAACUAUAUCCCCCCUAACCUUAUCCUCUGAAUUUCUUCAAUCUUCCGUCUUAGAUCCGGAAUUGGCUCCCACCUCAAGCUUGGAUCUGAAAUUGGCUCUCGCCAUCAAGCUUUCUCCUCCGUUUUUACAUUUAAGAAAUCCAUUUACCGAAAACAACGUUCCCUGAAACGGCACAGAGAACAGGACAGUCUGAAACAGAAUCAAACCCCGUAAUCGGGACCACAUUGAGUCGCCUGACCAAUUCAGGUCCUAUAUUGGAAAAGAUGCCCGUAGUAACCUGAAUAUUCCCGUAAUUGGGUCAAAUUGGUCCUCGCGUCAGAUUGGCUAAGACCCGUAGUAAGACUUGGAUUUCCCGUAAUUAGACUGCAUUGGGUUGACCGGCCAAUUCAGGUCUCAUAUUGGAUAAGAGGACCCGGAUUGGAUUAUCGAAAUUGGAUCCAAUUGGCUCCUCGAACCCGUCGUGUGAAUUGAUCCUUCUCUUCCUGCUGACUCCCGUUAUUGGAAUCGAAUGGAGCAUUUCAGUAUGCCCCGGCUGACUGUAACGGAGUGACUGAACCUGACCACUCAGUAUUUGUACUGGAGUUGGUUGAUGCUCCCAAUAUUCGAGGUAACUGAAUAUUAAUAAAAUUCCCCUUUCUUUUUAUUUUCACUGAAUACUCGUGUUACAACACGACACCGUGAACUUUGGCAAGUUGUGAUCCUCAAUCUGUGCUUCCGACUUAUUGUGAAACAUCUAUCGCUAGUGUCUCUACAAGCCCUUUCGAAUGCUCAAGAAGUUCCAAUUCAACCCCGCUUACAGAUUGUGAGGCUAUGUUAUAAUCUGCACCGAUGUCCCUUGGCUGCUUGCCGAUAUUCCUCUUAUCCCUGUUGGUAGGUCCCCAGUUAUCAUAGAAAUCCUAAACAACCCCAAUUUGCCAACUCCGAAUACUUCUUUAUACUGUUGGCAGAUAUUCUUUAUCUAUACAAUCAGAUUAACACAACCACACAUACAUUCAGUAUACUCAACCUUCUAGACAACUCUGAAUUUUAACUACAAAAGUAUCUCCCAUUCCAUCAACUAUCAAGAGCACCAGCCUUUCCUCUCUUACAGAAAAAUCCAGUUUAUCAAUAUCGCACGGACUUUCAGAAACGAUUGCCUCAAUCUUCCCAAAACGCUAUGAAGAAAAAAAAUUCCAAUUCUCUAUCUUUUCUUUUCGAGUAUGAAGCUAGCUCUCCGACCCUUAAAACCCUGAUUCUCCUCUUUUUUUCAUUUCUUAACCUAUCCUCCCUUUUUUACCCUGAGAAGAUCCUAUUCUUCCACCUUGGACUUCCCAAAUUGGAAGAGCCGACCUCCCGCUUUCUCUCCCUUAUUUUUGCCUUUAAAAAAUCUUUUUACCGAAAGGAUGUUCUUGGAAUGGCACAAAGAAUAAAACAACCUGAAAUGGAAUCGAAGCCCCAUAAUUGGACCACAUUGGGUUGCCCGACCAAAUCAGGUCUCAUAUUGGAUAAGAGGCCCAUAAUAGGAUCUUGAUUAGAGGUCUUUUGAAAUUGGAUCCAAUUGGCUCUUCGAACCAAGCUCACCUGACGUUGAAUUGGUCUUUUUUCUUCCUACUGACUCCCGUUACUGGAAUUGAAUAGAACAUUUCAUUAUUGGUGAGUAUGUCCCGGCUGAUUGUAACGGGAUGACUAAACCUAGCCUCUUAGUAUUUGCACUGGAAUUAGCCACCGCUUCUAACACCCAAGGUGACUAAAUAUUAAUAAAUCUUCUUCAUUUAUAUUUUCAUCAUAUAGACGUAUUACAACACGACAUCCAUCCUCUCUGAAUCUGUGCAUCCUCCGGUAUGCACCAAUUAACCUUGUUGCCAUUUGAUUCAUAAUAUUUUCUCCAAAUCUUUGUCUAGUCCAUCUUCAUCGUCUUUGCUAUCCAAUCAAUUUCAUCUUCCCACUGCAAAAUAUCUAUGUCUUCAUUAAGGUCUUCUAUAUUUAUUUCUGUAUAUCUUUGUUUGAAAAAUUUUACUCUCUUCCUUGCAAUUGGUAUUUUUAACCUUGUGCCAUCUAACUCCCGCAAUGAAUAAGUCGUAUUAUCAUGAACAGUUGUUACCACAUACGGUCCAAACCAACGUUUUGAAAACUUUCGUAAAGUGCUAUAUUGGUUGUCCAGACUACUAUCAUAAACAAGUAUUCAACCACCUUCUUCAAUUGCUUUAGAUCUCAAUUGAUGUUGCUUAUCGAAUCGCAUCUUUUUAUGUAACCUUGCUCUUUUUAACCUUUCCAAUGUUAUCUGGACAUCUUCCAAUCUUUGCUCCAAUUGUCGAAUCCUAAUAGCCAGAAGUUCUUCUCUUGUCAAUCUAUCUUCCCAUAGUAGCAUAUUCUAAGUAAAUACCCUUUUUUCAAAUGGCAUAAUUGGUUUUCGACCUAUCAUAAGUUCUAUUGGCAUAUAUCUUGUCACCGAACUAUGUAUUGUUCGAUCAGCCUAUAAUACAAAUGACAAAAGCAAUGGCCACUCUCUAACUUUCCCAUUACAAGCUUUAACUAAUGCUUUCACAAUCGGUAGGUGACCACGUUCGCUUUUUGCAUUCCCUUCCGGAUUAUAAGCCAUAGUCAGUGAUAGUUUAACUCUACAUCUUUCAAAGAACUUAUGAGCUUCUUGUGCAUUUAAUUCUCCAUGAUCUGUAGUGAUUUUUCCUAUGCAUCCAUAGCGGCAAAUGACAUCUUCAAGCAAAAACCUACAAAUCCCCUCUGUAGAUUUUGUCCUCAAUGCUCUUCCUUCUACUUGAUUUGAUAAAUCUUCAUGAGCUAAGACCAAAUAUCUCAUCUGCCAUAACCCAACUAGUAUAAAAACCAAAUCAACAAUCCAUUUAAAAUGAAUAGUCAGAGGAUACAUAGGAUGAAGACCAUCUCGAUGUCAGAUAUUAGAAUACGAUUGACAAAUUUCACAUGAUUAUACAAAUAAGAGCACAUCUUGAUACAUAUUUUUCCACCAAUAUCGUUCCUUGAGUUUAGCAAAAGUAGCCCAGAUUUCUCUAUGCCCUGCCCAUAAACUAUCAUGAAACUCUUUUAAUAAUUUUAGUUUUUCUUCCUUUUUGCCUAUCACUCGUUGUGGCAUCCCAAUUCCUUUCUUCGGUCUCUUCCAAAAGAAUCCAUCUCGAAGCAAAAAUCCAUAUGUUUUUUUUCUUAUUUGUUUGAAUUUAUCUGUAGACCAAUUCCCCUGUUUAGUGAAGGUAUUUAAGUAAUGACCAAUAUCCAAUAAUUCUCCUUCAUAAUAUUCUUCAAGAAAUAGCUUGUCUUCUCAGUUGAGAUUUGAUAUUGAAUAGAAUUUCAAUUCGACGUCAUCAAUAUCUUCAACCAUUUCAUCCUCCCUCUCGUAUCUUACUCGAGAUAGCAUGUUUGCUACUAAAUUGUCCUUCCUAGUAAUAUGCUUAGAUUCUGGAUUUAGUGACUUAAUAUAAGCAAUCCAACUCAACAUUGUAAUAUCUGGCGUUGAACAGUUAGUAAUCAUUCCAAGCAAUGGCAAGCAAUCUGUUUCAAUUACUAGUAAUGCCCCAAUCAAAUAGUCCUUUUUAGCUUUCAUAGCCGAAACAACUCCCCAAAGUUCUCUUUUGACUUGCAAAUAUGCACACUAACGAAUACUUAAAACUUUAGUUUCAAAUCGAACUGCAAAUCUAUUCCCACUUGAAUCAUCUUGAUCCACAGUCCAUCCAAUGGCAAUUGGACUAGUGUCUACAGUAAGAAUCACUGGUCUAUUGCACUUAUAAUCAACCUUCCUCAAUAUUAGACAUGACAUCAAUAAUUUCUUCAAUCUUGGCAUUGCCUGAAUAUGCCUUUUUUUCCAUUUAAAUCGGUAGCCCUUACAUAACAGUUCAUAUAAUAGAUCCACUAUGUGAGCAUAAUGAGGGAUCCAGAUUCGAUAAAAUAUACAUGCACCUAAAAACCUGCGAACCUCUGUUAAAGAAUCACAAUCCUCUUUCAUCCUUCCGAUUACAUCAACUUUAGUCGGAUCUGGUUUUCUUCCAUAAGAUCCACAUAAAUGUCCAACAAUCACAACCUCUUGUACUCCAAAUACAGACUUCAUAUGCGAUAAUGUAAUAUGAACUUCUCCAAGUCGAGUUAAAAUCUUUUCACAAUCUUAUAUAUGAUCAACAACAUAUUUGUGACACCCCCUCUUAUCUAAAGUUUCAUCCUUGUCUCCUUCUCUGCACCCUUUUAUAAGAACAUCAUCCAGAAAAGGCUUAGUCUUCUCCGGAAUAAAAUCUCUCAAUAUCUUAUUCAUUCCAUUUAUCAUAUGCACAAGUGAGUUGAUCGAGUCUUGAGGAAGAGUACACAUUCUAACCAAUCCAAGUAGUGUCCUCAUCGUCGUCAUAUCUCUACUUCCUUCGACAAGUUGAAAUUGAUCAUAACCUGAAUACAAGUCACCCAUUGAAUAGAUCGCUCUUCUUGCAAACGCCUCAGUAAAUUCAUCCACAAUAGGUCUAAUUCUUGCAUUCCUUACAGUUACUGCAUUCACCGGUUGCAUAUCUUGAAUAAACCGUAGUGACCCAUUCUUCUUAGGUACCAUAAACCAUCCACUAGAAUACGGCGCAAACGAAGGUUCCAAUAUUUUCAUCUUUAUCUUUUUUUUUAAUAGUUCAACCAAUUUAGGUAAAUAUGCCCUCGAUAUUGGAAUCGGUCUUAGAUUCCAAAGUACAUGCGGUACAGUGAAGAUAACCAUAGGUGUUAUAAUAUUCGGAUCCACACACCCAAUUUCAUAAGAUUCAAAGGCAAACAAUCUACCUUGUUUAGCCAACAUCUUUUUGAACUAAGUAAUUUCCUCUGACAAUAAAGAACCAUCAGAAUCAAUCUUUAAUUCUUUAAAAACCUCUUUAAUAAACUGAUGUCCAAUACUCAUUGGAUCUCUUAAAUUUGCUUCUUUUGAUGCUUCUCCCAUUUGUUCCUUAAAACCUUUUGAUAAUGGUCCGACAACAGGCUUUACCUUCUUAUCUGCCGUUUUAUAUGUCGUUUCUAUAGUGACUUCUGGUGCUUGAAAAGAUUCAAGUAUGGUAUAAACCUCUCUUGAAUGAAUCUCAACAAUCUUAUCAUUAUCUCCUAACCCAAUAGAUGUAAUCAAUUCUAAUGAAUUUUCCAAUUCAUUUUCUUCAUAAACACCUAAAAUCCUCUCAUCAUCUAGCAAUGUACCUAACUUACGUAAUUCUCCUUUAAUAUUAUAUAAUCUUUUUCUUUCUUUUCUUUUAAAAUCAUCAACUUUCUUAUACAUAAUAUUUCCAUUCUCCAAAAUACUAAUAAAACUCGCAUCAAAGGCACCUUCAUCUCGUGAGAGUACCUCCUCUUUUGUACCUCCAUAAUCUCACUUUAUAAUGGUACCUCCCCAAAAUCCUUAAAUCCUUCAACAAUCUUUGGCAAUGGUUUCUCCUUCAACUUAUCUCGAUUCCGUUCAUGGUUAGGAGGUACUAUUAGAAAUUGUACAGCUUUCCUCCUAUCUUCUCUAUGUACCCUUGCAUAAGCAAAACCAUCGUCAAGUACUUUUGUUUCCAUCUGUGUUGCCAUAAUAUAAGGUUGUCCUAAAAUCAACGGAUAAGAUAUUGUAUCUUGAACAAAGAAAUGUUGCUCCAUCGUAACAUCCCCAAUCCGAAUUUUGACAUCUAGACAAGCUCCAUAUAAUUCGCCCCGUGUGUUAUUAGCUGCUCGUAUUUUCCAUCCAUGUUCCAUAUCAAUUGGCCAUUUUUGCUUCUUAUAAAGAUCUUUAGACAUGAGAUUUAUUUCAAAACCAUGGUCGACUAAAGCAACAAUUGGUUCUUCUAUAUCUCCUGCUUUCACGAAUACCACAGUAGUUGCCCUUGUCCAAUGCUUUCGAGUAUAAUGGCUCAAAGUUUCCAUUUCCUUAUCACUAUAAUCUUUGAAACGUACUCAUUGAUUAUACCCAUUCUUUUCAUUUGUUGGUUGCUUGUAACCAAUAUCAACCUCUUCUUCAUCUUUAUAUAUUCUUGCAUCAAUAGCAUGAUUCAUUCCAGUUUCACCCAUUAAUUGCCUCUUUCACUUAAUGCUGUCAAUGAUAACAUCAUGAAACUCCUUCUUUGCAAUUUCCAAAACUUCUUUCAAUGUGGAUUCCACCUUAGUAUUUAAUAUACGUUCUUCCAACACCCCUUUCAAAUUUGUUGCUACUUCAAUGCCAGAAAGUAGCUUAUAAGCAAUUGAUUUGCCCUUAUCUUUUGUCUCCUUUGUUUUUUCUUCCAAUGAUGCUGAGGUAUCUUUUACAGAUAAAUCUUGUGAAGCUGCCUCUCGAGCCUUGUCUCCUCGACUUUGCCUCUUAGAAGAAUUUCCUUCUCUCGUAUCAUCAAAAUUUUCUCGUCUCUUUUCUUCCAUCAAAGCUUCAUGUUGGCUCUUAGCAAUAUAUGCAUGAAUUGAAAGAGACUCAACAAGAUUUUUUCAACCUGUUGCACCUUGUAUUGUAGCUGCAGUCUUUAAUAAGGCUUCUCGAGGUAAUUUCCCUUCUUACAUUGUAGAAAUGGCAGAAGCCCAAAACUCACUAGUUUCCGUACUUCCACCAAGGUCAUCAUCUAUUCUAGCACUAUAACUUGCACUUUCUCGUGCUGCUGUUUCAUACUCUUUUAAGUAAUCUUGAACCAAUGCUCUCAUUCAUCUCUUGCCAAAAUUAGUUUGAAGAAGAUCCUCCCUAUCUUUUAAUGCUAUCUUCCCAUCUUUUCAGCAAAUAAUUCCUUGCCGUAUCAUAUUAUUAAAUUCAUUGCAAUCUUUCCUAGUGUGUGAAGCGUCAUUACACCAAAUGCAUCUUGGUACAUAUCUUUGUUUUGAAACAUUCUUCAAAUUGUUUGUAGAAGUAUUCUCUUCAAGUCUUGCCAAUUUGAUUUGAAGAUCUCGCAUUCCUCAUAUAAUUUCUUCCAUCCUCAUAUCUGCUUUCUUUGAUAAGGAUGUCGAAGGUUGAACUAUAGGCAUUGUUGGUAGUGUUGUACGUACUGGAGCUUUGGAUGCUUGUACUGUUUUCAAAAUAUUGCUCCUAUCCUUCUUUCUUUUCUCUUUUUGCAAGCAAUCCCAUCGCAUCUUCAACGUUCUUCCACUUUGUUGUCAAUCCUUCAUCUUCUUCUUUGUCUUCAAGAAGGAGUUCUAAUUUCCCUUGCAAUUCUCCAUCAGCAGCUUGAAGAAAUAGAUUAACUUUGUUCGACUCCAAUGUCAAUUUUUCUACCUUCGAUAAUUGAAAGUACUGCCUUUCAAAUUCCCUUAGUAGCUCUGUUGCUUGUAAAUUCUUAUUAGGCCGUUCAAUCUAUUCCAGAAACAGCUUCUUAGUAAUGCGAUCAACAUCUUCCAAGAAAUAUUCAUCUUUCAAUGCAUGUGAAAAAACCUCCGAUGAAUUCCCAUAACGAUCCGUAAUCAAUGUAAUAUGGUUUCUUAUCUCCGAUAUCGUGGCAAGUCCAAAUAAUUCAACCAUUUUCUUUUGAGAAAUCUGAUUUAAUUCUAUUUCAUAAACAUAACAUCUUAAAUACCUUGAAAUAUUCCUUCCAUCAAAUUGAUCAAUUUUAUUGACCACUGCUUGCAAUGCUUUGGUUGCCAAAGCUUUUUUUCGAUCAUUGCUUUGCUGUUGCUGUAUUAAUAAUGAGAAGGCUUGAAACAUACUAGCAAUAGACGGAUCCAUGUGCAUACCUUGUCCUUGAGAAGAACCUCCACCAGAAACUCCUCCCAAAGAUCCUUCAAAAUUUUUAUUUUUGUUCUCUAUAAAAAUAAAAAUAAAAUCAAAUGAAAUCCAAUACCUUCCACCUCAAGCUUUCAUGUCAAAUUCACCACUUAUGUCGUAUUAUGUGCUAUCUUGCUUGAGAAUGUGCUGGACGUCUGACUAUAGGAGGUAGUAUGGUGUUUCGCUAGUACUCAAGUAAUCUAUCGGGUUCUUGACUACCCAAAUUCAAUCUAUAUCAGAUUGCAAUGUAAAAGCUUAAUUCCAAUAUAAAAUUCCUAGAGACCCUAUAUAACUUCAAUCUCUUUUGUUAUUUUUACUUUAUUUUAUUUCUUUUAUGUUUUUUAUUUUAUCUUUAUCGUUAAUUACCUUAAUCAUAGACCGUUGUUGUGUUGUAUCACGAGUAUACUGUAAAAAUAUAAAGAAAGAGGACUUUUAUUAAUGUUCAGUUACCUCAAAUAUUAGGAGCAACGACCAAUUCCAAUGCAAAUACUGAGAGGCUAGAUUCAGUCACCGCGUUACUGUCAGCCGGGGCAUACUGAAAUACUCCGUUCGAUUCUAAUAACGGGAGUCAGUAGGAAGGGAAAGGACCAAUUCACACGACGGGUGAGCCUGGUUCGAAGAACCAAUUGGAUCCAAUUUCAAGAAUCCAAUCCAGGUCCUCUUACCCAAUAUGAGACCUGAAUUGGUCGAGCAAGCCAAUGCAGUCAAAUACGGGAAAAUCCAGGUCUUACUAUGGGCCUCAGCCAAUCUCACGCGAAGGACCAAUUUGAUCCAAUUCGAGAACAUCUGGGUCUUACUACUGGACUCCUAGCCGAUAUGAGACCUGAAUUGGUCGGGCGACUCAAUGUGGUCCCGAUUACGGGGUUUCGAUUCUGUUUCAGGCUGUUCUGUUCUCUAUGCCGUUUCAGAGAACGUUGUUUUCGGUAAAAAGAUCUCUUAAAGAUAAAAACAGAGGAGAAAGCUCUGACGGCGAGAGCCAAUUUCGGAUCCAAGAUGGAAAGAGCCAAUUCCGGAUCUAAGAUGGAAGAUUGAAGAAAUUCAGAGGCUAGGGUUUGAAAGAGAGGAGAAUUAGGGUUAAAGGGGAGGAAGGUUAAGAAAUGAGGGGGGUUUUUUCAGAUCGGGUUUUUCUGGAUCGAAGAGCUAGCUUCGAGCUCUUUUCAAGGUUACUAGUUUGGUUUCAUUAGGGUUUCUGAGAGGAGAGCAAUUGCUGCUCAAAGUCAGUGUUUAUUUUGGUGUUUCGGAUUUUAUAUAAAACAUUGAUGGUUUGCAUUCUCAAUCGGUUUGUGCAAGUCGUGUAGCAUCUAUGGAUUAAAAUUUGGUAUUGUCUGGAUAGUUGGGUGUGCUAAGUGUAUACAAAAAUUUGUGUUAAUUUAACGAUGCAAUCAAGAGAUAUCUGGGUUUUAGUACAAAGGGUUGUCGGAAGUUGGCAGUCUAGGGUUGGAUAGGGUUUCUAUGAUAUCUGAAGAUCUACCAGUUGGAUCGAUGUAAAUUUUGGCUUGGUAAUAGAAGAUUUGGAGAUCAAGCGGCUAUUCAAUUUUGAGCUGGAGUUAACGGUUGACAAAGGAGAAAUCACUUCUGGAAUUUCUACAUCAAAUUUCAAGGUUGCGACCGAGUGUCAUUAGUGCGGUUUUUGGGCGUUUUCUUGUAAUCUGUAAGUUGGGUUGGGCUGAAAUUUUUUGAGCAUAUAGAAGGCUUAUACUGGUAUUUGGGUGCAAAAUUUUACACUAAGUGGACGGUUGGAACAAAAGUUACAGCUUGUCAAAGCUCACUGGCUAGGAUUAGGGCUUGUUAAGAAAAACAAAAACAACUUAAUUAUAAAAGAAAUAAAGCAAUUGAAAUAUUGUAUGGUUAAAAUGACUAUGAAGAGUGUUUUUAAAUACUUAGAAAUUGAUAUUUCAAUUGUAUUCUUCAUACAUGGAUAAAAUCUAUUAGGGUUUCUUUGUUAUUUGCAAAAACAACUAUACCUUCCACAGCCAGAUACCCAGUGUAUUCUCGAACAAGACAGCACGUAAUACGACACCGUGAACUUUGGCAAGCUGUGAUCCUCAAUCUAUCCUUCCGACUUGUUGUGAAACAUCUAUCGCUAGUAUCUCUACAAGCCCUUUCGAAUGCUCAAGAAGUUCCAAUUCAACCUCGCUUAUAGAUUGUGAGGCUAUGUUGCAAUCCGCAGCGAUGUCCCUUGGCUGCUUACCGAUAUUCCUCUUAUCCCUGUUUGUAGGUCCCCAGUUAUCAUAGAAAUCUUAAACAACCCCAAUUUGCCAACUCCUAAUACUUCUUUAUACUGUUGGCAGAUAUUCUCUAUCCGUACAGUCAGAUUAACACAACCAUGCAUGCAUUCAACAUACUCAACCUUCUAGACAACUCUGAAUUUCAACCACAAAAGUAUCUCCCAUUCCAUCAACAAUCAAGAGUACCAGCCUUUCCUCUCUUAUAGAAAAAUCCAGUUCACCAAUACCACACGGACUUUCAGCAACGAUUGCCUCAGUCUUCCCAAAACCCUAUGAAGAAAAAAAAUCCCAAUUCUCUGUCUUUUCUUCCCGAGCAUGAAGUUAGCUCUCCGACCCUUAAAACCCUGAUUUUCCUCUCUUUUUCAUUUUUUAACCUAUCCUCCCUUUUUUACCUUGAGAAGAUCCUAUUCUUUCGCCUUGGACUCUUCAAAUUGGAACAUCCGACCUCCCGCUUUCUCUCCUCCAUUUUUGCCUUUAAGAGAUCUUUUUACCGAAAGGACGUUCCCGGAACAGCAGUAAGAACGGAACAGCCUGAAACGGAAUCAAAGCCCCAUAAUUGGAUCGCAUUGGAUUGCCCGACCAAGUCUGAUCUCAUAUUGGGUAAGAGGCCCAUAAUAGGACCUCGAUUAGAGGUCUUCAUAAAUUGGAUCCAAUUGGCUCUUCGAACCAGGCUCACCUGACGUUGAAUUGGUCCUUUUCCUUCCUGCUGACGUUACUGGAAUCGAAUGGACCAUUUCGUUAUUGGUGAGUAUGCCCCGACUAACUGUAACGGAGUGACUGAAACUGGCCUCUUAGUAUUUUUACUAGAAUUAGCCACCGCUUCUAACACCCAAGGUGACUAAAUAUUGAUAAAUCUUCUUCAUUUAUAUUUUCAUCAUAUAGACGUAUUUCAACACGAAACCGUAAUGAAUCCUGAUCUCUCAAUCUUAUAUCUAUAGCAAUUUGUAAACUGUGGACUUCCAAUUCAAUAGGUAAUAUUGCUUCCUGGCCAUAAACCAAUUGGAAAGGGGUAGCAUUGGUAGUAACUUUAUAUAUAGUACGGUAUGUCCAUAAAGCUGUGAACAACUUAGUAUUCCAAUCUGUUCACAGUUCUGAAACUAUUUUUGUUAAGAUUUUAUAUAAAAUUCCAUUAGUCUUUUCCAUUUCUCCAUUGGUACUAGGGUGAUACGGUGUAGUCUUUUGAUAUUUUAUCUCAUAUUUAGCCAUGAGUGCUUUGAUUGUACUAUUUAUAAAAUAAGUUCCUUGAUCACUAACUACUUCUCGUGGACAACCGAACUGUGUAGUAAAAUUUUUAUACAAAAAAUUUCUACUAUACUUGUAUUAUCGGUUUUCAUAGCUACGGCUUUAGCAUAUUUUGUUACAUAAUCUGUUGCUAUCAGUAUAUAUUAUUUUUGUCCAUUUCUCGAGGCUGGUACAAUUGGUCCUACAAAAUCAAUUCUCUAUUUUUCAAAAGGCACUUGAACCAGAAUUGGUACCAAUGGCAUUGCUGAAGUUCCAGUAUGUCGAUCCAUUCUCUAACAUGGAUCACAAUGAUGGACGAAUUGGUGGGCAUUUGUAAACAUUAUUGGCCACCAAUAACCAACCUAUAAAGCUUUACGAGCUGUGCUGUCUCCCGCAAAAUGUCCACCACAACUAUCUAAGUAGCAACCUUCCAAUAUAGUAUGCAUUUUAGUCUUCUAUAUUGAAAUGUGAUUUUUUUGGUCUUACCUGAAUAGUAAAGUUAAAUUCUUACAAUAGUAAAAACCAUCCUACAAUACAACCAUUUAAUUGAGGCUUAUUAAUCAUAUAUUUUAAAGCAUCAUGGUCGACAUGGAAAACAAAUUCAUAACCAAGAAGAUAAUGUCGAAACUUAUAUACGGAAUAAAUCAUUCUCAAUGCUUCUCUUUUGGUUGUUGUAUAAUUUCUUUCAGCUGCUAUUAAUUGAUGACUUGCAUAAUAAAUAGGGUGAUCAAAACCCCGGUCAUCUUUCUACCUUAGGACAGAAUCAAUCGCGACAUUAGAUGCAUCCAUAUAAACUUGGAAUGGUUUUGUCCAAUAAGGUGCCACCAAUAUUGGUGCUGAAAUCAAUUUUUGUUUCAAUGUUUCAUAUGCAAUUGUACAUUCUUUUGUCCAAAAUGGACUGAUCCCAUCAGUUGGUGGUUUCUUCAAGAGAUUUGUUAAGGGAAGGCAUAUAACUACAAAUAGAUAGAUAAAUCGCCAAUAAUAAUUGACAUGGCCGACAAAUACUCGAACACCUGUAACAGUGUCUAAUUGCUUUAAUUCUAUUAUAAUCUUUAUUUUAUUUGAAUCUGUAGCAAUGUCUGCCAUCAAAAUUAUAUGACCCAAUAAUUUACUAGAAGAUACACUAAAUUGGUAUUUUUCCGAAUUUAAAGAAAUUCCAUAUUUGGCACAUUGAUUCAAACAUUUACUUAGGCAUUCUAAAUACAUGACUCUCAUAUUAAAUGUACAAAAAUCAUCUAGAAAUAUUUCCAUUGAAAUUCAUAGAUAAUCAUCGAACUCUUGCAUCAUUACCCUUUGAAAUGUAGUUGGUGCAUUACAAAGCCCAAAUGGCAUAACCUUAUAGGCAAAGGCCCCUCAAUCCAUAGUAAAAGUAGUUUUUAACUGGUCUUAUUUUGCAAUGUUAACUUGAUUAUAAUCAGAGAAUCCAUCAAGAAAUGAAUUUCAUGUCUGACAAUGGCAUUCAAUAUACUAUCCAUGAAUGAUAAAAGAAAAUAAUCCUUCUUGGUAGCUACAUUUAAUUUUUAAAAAACUUGACAAAUACAAAUUUUUUCAUUCUUUUUUGAUACCAUAACAAUUGGUGAAACUCAUUCACUGAAAGGAACUGGAUAGAUAAAUCUAACCUCUAAGAGUUUAUCUAGUUCUUCUUUUACCAUAAGUGAGUAUUUUGGAUUAAGUCAAUGUUAUCUUUGGCAUACUGGUGUAGCGUUCUCCUCCAAUAUAAUUCGAUGCUCACAAACUUCAAUUGGAAUUCCUUUCAAAUCCACAUACGACUAUGCAAAAGCAGUUUUAUAUGUUAAAAAGUAAUCCACCCAAAUUUCUUUCUCCUUAUCUUUUGUAUUGUCAUAAAUCUAAAUGAUUUGGAGAGCCUCCUCUGUACCUAAAUUAAUUGAUUAACGUCAUAGAAUUUCAGGAGUCUCUAGAAUAAUAUUUUGUUCAAUUCUUGAAACUUUCAUAAAAUCUGCCAAAUUAGAACUUUUCAACUCCAGUUCCAUAGCACUAACGUGAUUAACAUCCUGUCUAUUCAUCCAAUAUGCAAUCAUAUGAUCAGAAUCGUCAAUUACAUCUAAAAGAAUUAAGUACUCUCUCGAAUCCUUGCAUUGGUAUUUCAUUCUAGUGUGCUCAAUAACUUGCCUUGUAUCAGCAUAAAUUAGGUCGAGUGUACUAAUUUCUACUUUUGUAGACUCAUCUUCAUAAUCCGACAUAAAUUCUAAACUAGCAACUUGAGUUUUUCUAUGAUAUUGGACAGAGUAUAUUUGAAGCACAAUUUUAUCAUUACCUUUCUCAAUUGUCAAUGUACCAUAGUCCCAGUCAUUCUGAGCUUUAGCUUUAUAUAACCACGAUCGCCCCAAUAAAAUUGAGUAUGAAAAUAUAGAUCUUUGCAAUCAAAAAAUAAUAUAAUCAAUUUUUUAGGUAAACUCUGCAAAUAUUGUAUCAAUACUUCAUAAAAUACCUAUAGGUUUAACUCGAAUAAAGUCAGUCAUUCUCAAAACUACUCUAAUAGGCAAUAAGUGAUUCAAACCCAACUCCUCCAUUGUAGCGGCAUUCAUAAGAUUUACACUAGAUCCUCCGUCUACUUGUACUCCCGAUAAUAACACUCCAUCAAUUGAGACAUCAAUCGUAGGUGCACCCGGAUUGAGAUUCAAACUUACUUCUUGGAUUUUUUUAUUUCUAGAUUUGCAACAAAUUAAUGAAGAAUUCAAGAUAGUUCGGUACUCAGGUGCUACCACCAAUAGUUGCUUCAUAGAGAUCGUGGGCUAUAUGGUACCGAAAUCUUUUAGAAUAUCAUAUGAUUUUGUAUUAGUGGUAAUUCUGAAUGUCUGUUUCUCCUUCCCAGUCCUAAACACCGACACCGGUAAAUUAGUUUUCUCUAUAUUGGAAAUUGGUAGAGCUACUGGAACUAAAUUUGAUGGAGCCUGUAAAAUUGGUUCUUUCAAGGGAUAAGAUUGUUCUUUCAAUUGGGUUGAUAUUGGUUCCUUAGAAUUUACAUCUUUGAGAGGAUCUUUCAACAGAAAGGACGAUUCCCGAAACUGUGUAGAGAACAAAAUAGCUUGACACGCAACCGAAGCCUCAAUAAUCAGUACCUCAUUAGGGUGCACAACUAAUUCAGGUCUUAUACUGAGUAAGGGGCCUAUGUCUGGACCUAAAUUGGAUGGCCUCGUAAUUCGAUCCAAUUGGCCCUUCACUUCACGAUCAUCCAAAUGUUGAAUUGAUCCUUUUCACUUUUGCUGACUUCUUGUAUGGACAGCUUGGACUACUUCUAUCUGAUGAACUGGUGAAUCUUGAGGACCUUGAUUUAUCUCCUCCAUUUUUUCUUGGCUUUGGAUCUACUGAUUUUGAUUAUUGAAAUUGAACGAAGCAUUAUAUUGCAGAUAAGUAUGUCCCGACUGAUUGCAAUUUACACAUAUUGGUGCAUAAUUGGCACUGGCUCUGGGAUUGGGACAUUCACUGGCAUAAUGACCAAUCUGUCUGCUAUAGAAACAACGAAGUGGUCUUCUUGCACCCCCAUCCGACAUAUUAGGUGUUUCUACCCAUAUGUACCUACUAGAUUUAUUCCAUGUAGGGUUAAAAAAUGAUCUUAGUUGUCCCAUUUGUACGGAGGAUAUUUGAUUUGAUGACGUCGAUGGAACAUAUUGUUGAUACCUCUGCUAUUCCUUCCCAUAGUUCUGAGGGUUUGAUGCACACCACUGAUUAAAAUUGAAACUUUGAAAGUUAUUGAAUGUUCGAUUUUGUCAAUUAGAUUGAUUUCCAUUCUAUCCAUACAUAUUUUCCAUUUGAACUUGAUUGACUUUUCACUGAGUUGGUGGGAUCAUGGUCUGAUUAUUGAAUUGUUGUUGCCUUUGUAAAUACCAGCAGUUUUGGGUAGGGUGCUUUUUUCCGCAAAAUGUACAUUGAACACCCGUUUGUCUCAGUGAUGGAUAUUUUGUAUCAAAAUGGUCUUGUCCCUUAUAAUUAUUACACCAUACAUUAAGUCUCAUAUUAGAAGGCUUAUGUCGUUUCUCCUUAUCUUUAGCCAAAUUUAUGGCCAAUUCUUCCAUUUUCUUUGUUAGAUUUAAUAACAAGGCUUCAUUUGGAUCUUUAACAGUUGCAUUUGUGAACAACUCUGGUUGUUGAUAGAUUGGCAAUGUAAACUAAGGUGUUAUCAUUAUUGGCGCUAUUGCUUGAAGUGGUGUAGUAUUAAUUGGUUGUUACAACAUAACAAUCUUCACAUUAGAGGCUGCCAUUUGUAGAUAAUUAUCCAUCGACACAUUUCUUGGUUGUAUUUGUUGGCUUCUUGAACUUAGAAUCAUCGUGGCCUCUAUUAUUAAUAAUUGGUCAUAAUGACAUUCUUUCCAUACUUUUGUUCGUACCAAUGAUGCUUCUACAGUAGCUGAUCGAGCCUCUUUUAUAAACAUUUUUAAUUCUGGUAGAUUCAAAUCAUUGAUUAAUAUCGACAAUAUAAAUGCAUCUGGCAUUUGAAUAUUUUCCCAUUUACGAAGUAUAUCUAUGACCCAGCCAUAAUAGGACUCUAUUCAUUGCCUCAUAAAUAUCCUACUAUUCAUAAAACUUUCUCAAAGCCAAUCUUUAAAUCUAAUUGGUCUAAAAUGGAUUAGAAAGGCGUUCCUCAAGGCCUCCCAAUUGAGAAAUCUAUCCAAUGGUUGCCAAAUAUACCAUUCAAAAGUUGUAUCUUUUAAAGUUGUUGACAACUAUCUCAACCAAAUAUCUUCAGUUCUAUCAUUAUUAGCCACGCAGGCUAUCAAGAAUUGAGAUAUAUGGUGAUCGGGAUCAGUGCCCGACCAACCACUAAAAAUAGGUAAUAGUACCAUGUUUGUGGUGCGGUCUCAUACUACUCCCAUUUAUACUACAAUUGGUACUUCUAGCACUGCCACGGCCAUUGGUGUUAUCACUGAUCUUCUUACUAUUUGAAUCUGAAUUUUUCUUCCUUUGGUUUUUCUUGGACCUGCAAUUCUUUUUUGUCGUUCCCGUAGGAGAUUUCUUAUGCAUAAUCACUCUUGUCUUUCUUUUGUUUGUCGAUUAAUUCUUUGAAAAUCCUCUCCUCUAUAAUUAUCACUCAUAAUCUUUCAUUCUUCUCGGCAAAAUCAACAUUGCCUUGAAUUAUAACUAAUAUAUUUGUAACCCUAAAAUUGGUUCUUCUCACAUUCUCAUUCAACAUAUAAUUCCAUCUUCCAUACAAUCAAUUUUUAAUAUUUCAUAUUAUUAUCAUUUCCUCGGCAGUGGUGCCAAAAUGUUGUUCUCGUUAUGUUUAAUCUACAAUAGACCAAAGUAAUUGAACUAAUAGAGGUGGGUUUGAACACGGGAAAAGACUGGUUAUAUGAAUUGGGUCUGUUAGUGUCACAAUUGAUUGUACUCUGGCUAUCUGAAAUCAAUUAUUAAACUAAAAAAUACCAAGGCUUACUACUUCCAUUUUAAUUCAACUCAUAAUCCAUUCUAUGAUUAUCAAUUUAACAAUGCUUCUUUCAAUCACAAUUCUUCAUAAGCAAAUAAUAAAGAAAACAAAGAGGUAGCACCAAGCUUACCCCAACUUACGACUCUCAAUUUGGCUCUUGGCUUAUGACUCUCAGUUUGGCUCUCAGCUUACAAUUCUCAGUUUGGCUCUCAACAUACGACUCUCACUCUAACUCUCCGCUUACCUUUCCUCAACCUAUUUAUCCUACUAAAAGAUGAUUCGUCGGCCAGCGGAUUCCAAAGAUUAUGAUCCUUUGAAUUCUUAACCAUUUAUUGCACUAACAACCUACUGUUAUCAACUAAACUGCCUAACCAUCAGUUUAAUUCUCAAGGUUGUCAAUAACCAACCAGUAACUUACCACAAAGUUUAUUUA
rnacentral:lncRNA from 1 species